rnacentral:rRNA from 1 species
UACGAAGGGUGCAAGCGUUACUCGGAAUUACUGGGCGUAAAGCGUGCGUAGGCGGUUUGUUAAGUCCGCUGUGAAAGCCCUGGGCUCAACCUGGGAAUGGCGAUGGAUACUGGCUCGCUAGAGUGCGGUAGAGGAGAGUGGAAUUCCCGGUGUAGCAGUGAAAUGCGUAGAGAUCGGGAAGAACAUCGGUGGCGAAAGCGCUCUGCUGGACUGCAACUGACACUCAGGGACGAAAGCUAGGGGAGCGAAUGGG